rnacentral:tRNA from 1 species
GGGCCGUUAGCUCAGUCGGUAGAGCACCUGACUUUUAAUCAGGGUGUCACAGGUUCGAAUCCUGUACGGCCCA